rnacentral:rRNA from 1 species
GACGAACGCUGGCGGCGUGCCUAAUACAUGCAAGUCGGGCGAAGUUUUUCUGGUGCUUGCACUAGAAAAACUUAGCGGCGAACGGGUGAGUAACACGUAAAGAACCUGCCUCAUAGACUGGGACAACUAUUGGAAACGAUAGCUAAUACCGGAUAACAGUAUUUCUCGCAUGGGAGAUAUUUAAAAGUUGGUUAUGCUAACACUAUGAGAUGGCUUUGCGGUGCAUUAGCUAGUUGGUGGGGUAAAGGCCCACCAAGGCGACGAUGCAUAGCCGACCUGAGAGGGUGAUCGGCCACACUGGGACUGAGACACGGCCCAGACUCCUACGGGAGGCAGCAGUAGGGAAUCUUCCGCAAUGGGCGAAAGCCUGACGGAGCAACGCCGCGUGAGUGAAGAAGGAUUUCGGUUCGUAAAGCUCUGUUGUUAGGGAAGAAUGGAUAUGUAGUAACUAUACAUGUAAGAGACGGUACCUAACCAGAAAGCCACGGCUAACUACGUG